rnacentral:rRNA from 1 species
UACGUAGGUGGCAAGCGAUACUCGGAAUCACUAGGCGUAAAGCGCAGGUAGGCGGUUUGAUAAGUCUGUUGUGAAAGCUCCCGGCUUAACUGGGAGAGGCCGACGGAAACUGUCAGGCUAGAGUGUGGUAGAGGAAGAUGGAAUUCCCGGUGUAGCGGUGAAAUGCGUAGAUAUCGGGAGGAAUACCUAUGGCGAAAGCAGUCUUCUGGACCAUCACUGACGCUGAUCUGCGAAAGCUAGGGGAGCAAACAGG